AAUAGAUACCCUGGUAGUCCACGCCGUAAACGAUGAGUACUAGGUGUAGGGGGUAUCGACCCCCUCUGUGCCGAAGCUAACGCGAUAAGUACUCCGCCUGGGGACUACGGCCGCAAGGCUAAAACUCAAAGGAAUUGACGGGGGGCCCGCACAAGCAGCGGAGCGUGUGGUUUAAUUCGAUGAUACGCGAAGAACCUCACCCAGGUUUGACAUGCAUGUGGUACGGAUCCGAAAGGUGAAGGACCCCUCGGGGAGCAUGCACAGGUGUUGCAUGGCCGUCGUCAGCUCGUGCCGUGAGGUGUUGGGUUAAGUCCCGCAACGAGCGCAACCCCUGUCGCCAGUUGUAUUUUUCUGGCGAGACUGCCGAGAAAACCUCGGGAGGAAGGAGGGGACGAUGUCAGGUCAGCAUGGCCCUUACGCCUGGGGCUACACACACGCUACAAUGGGCGGUACAACGGGUUGCCAAGCCGCGAGGUGGAGCUAAUCCCAUCAAAGCCGUCCUCAGUUCGGAUUGCAGGCUGAAACCCGCCUGCAUGAAGCCGG
rnacentral:rRNA from 1 species